AGCUUCGAAGCUCAGCCGGUGGAGCACUUACCACAUUGAGGUAUACCGUUUCUGUCGCUGGUUCAAAUCCAGCCGAAGCCC
rnacentral:tRNA from 1 species